rnacentral:rRNA from 1 species
GCGGGGGAGCACAGCAACGGGUGGAGCGUGCGGUUUAAUUGGAUUCAACGCCGGAAAACUCACCGGAGGCGACGGUUACAUGAAGGCCAGGCUGAUGACCUUGCCCAAUUUUCCGAGAGGUGGUGCAUGGCCGCCGUCAGUUCGUACCGUAAGGCGUUCUGUUAAGUCAGACAACGAACGAGACCCUCAUCUUUAAUUGCUACUGGUAAGUCCGCUUAUCAGGCACAUUAAAGAAACCGCUGGCGAUAAGUCAGAGGAAGGCGAGGGCAACGGUAGGUCAGUAUGCCCUGAAUCCUCCGGGCUACACGCGCGCUACAAAGGCUAGGACAAUGGGUUUCAACACCGAGAGGUGAAGGUAAUCUCGAAACCUAGUCGUAGUUCGGAUUGAGGGUUGAAACUCACCCUCAUGAAGCUGGAAUCCGUAGUAAUCGCGGAUCAACAUCCCGCGGUGAAUAUGCCCCUGCUCCUUGCACACACCGCCCGUCAAACCAUGCGAGUUGGGUUGAGUGAGGAUGUAGUUUUUGGCUACGUUCAAACUUAGGCUUAGUAAGCGGGGUUAAGUCGU